CGUUACGGCCUUUAGCACUCUGAGGACUGUACAAACACACAACGGAAACAAGAGUGAGGAUAUUUUAUGGGUGUACUUAUUAGAUUAAAGGUUAUAGUUAUUUAUACUUUAGAGCAUAAAUAGAGAUAUCCUUGUAACCCAUUCACUUUCUGUUGUUACAAAAUCAGAACCUCAUUACUGGCUAUUACUCAAGCAUAAUUUCCAUAAAAUAAAAAACAUGGUACUGGUCACGAUCUGUAACAGCCAGGGAAAGUUUGAUUGGUGGAUCUCUUGUUAAGUCAUUUAGGCCGAGGUUCUCCAACCCCGGCCCUGAGUUACUGUCAAAGUAAGUCUUUAAGUUACUGUAAGGUAUUCCUUUAAUCAAACACUUU